UACGUAGGGGGCAAGCGUUGUCCGGAUUUAUUGGGCGUAAAGAGCGUGUAGGCGGUUCGGUAGGUCCGUUGUGAAAAUUCGAGGCUCAACCUCGAGACGCCGAUGGAAACCAUCGAACUAGAGUCCGGAAGAGGAGAGUGGAAUUCCUGGUGUAGCGGUGAAAUGCGCAGAUAUCAGGAAGAACACCCGUGGCUAAGGCGGCUCUCUAGUACGGUACUGACGCUGAGACGCGAAAGCGUGGGGAGCGAACAGG
rnacentral:rRNA from 1 species